rnacentral:tRNA from 1 species
GCCUGGGUGGCUAAUUCAGUUAAGUGUCUGAUUCUUGGUUUCAGCUCAGGUGAUGAUCUCAGGGUUGUGGGAUCGAGCCCCACCUCAGGCU